rnacentral:rRNA from 1 species
UACAGAGGUCUCAACCGUUGUUCGGAUUCAUUGGGCGUAAAGGGUGCGUAGGCGGUCGGGUAAGUCGGAUGUGAAAUCUCAGGGCUCAACCCUGAAACUGCAUUCGAUACUGCUUGGCUAGGGUACUGGAGAGGAGACUGGAAUUUACGGUGUAGCAGUGAAAUGCGUAGAGAUGUGGAGGAACACCGAUGGCGAAGGCAGCCCCCUGGGCUAACACUGACGCUCAGGCACGAAAGCGUGGGGAGCAAACAGG